GGGGAGGUUCCAGAGUGGCCAAAUGGGGCAGACUGUAAAUCUGCUGGCUAUGCCUUCGGAGGUUCGAAUCCUUCCCUCCCCA
rnacentral:tRNA from 2 species